rnacentral:rRNA from 1 species
AAACUGCGAAUGGCUCAUUAAAUCAGUUAUCGUUUAUUUGAUAGUACCUUACUACUUGGAUAACCGUGGUAAUUCUAGAGCUAAUACAUGCUAAAAACCCCGACUUCGGAAGGGGUGUAUUUAUUAGAUAAAAAGCCAAUGCCCUCCGGGGCUCUUUGGUGAUUCAUAGUAACUUAACGGAUCGCAUGGCCUUGCGCCGGCGACGGUUCAUUCAAAUUUCUGCCCUAUCAACUUUCGAUGGUAAGGUAUUGGCUUACCAUGGUUUCAACGGGUAACGGGGAAUUAGGGUUCGAUUCCGGAGAGGGAGCCUGAGAAACGGCUACCACAUCCAAGGAAGGCAGCAGGCGCGCAAAUUACCCAAUCCCGACACGGGGAGGUAGUGACAAUAAAUACUGAUACAGGGCUCUUUUGGGUCUUGUAAUCGGAAUGAGUACAAUUUAAACCCCUUAACGAGGAACAAUUGGAGGGCAAGUCUGGUGCCAGCAGCCGCGGUAAUUCCAGCUCCAAUAGCGUAUAUUAAAGUUGUUGCAGUUAAAAAGCUCGUAGUUGAACCUUGGGCCUGGCUGGCCGGUCCGCCUCACCGCGUGUACUGGUCGGCCGGGCCUUUCCUUCUGGAGAACCCCAUGCCCUUCACUGGGUGUGCGGGGGAACCAGGACUUUUACUGUGAAAAAAUUAGAGUGUUCAAAGCAGGCCUUUGCUCGAAUACGUUAGCAUGGAAUAAUAGAAUAGGACGUGCGAUCCUAUUUUGUUGGUUUCUAGGACCGCCGUAAUGAUUAAUAGGGAUAGUCGGGGGCAUCAGUAUUCAAUUGUCAGAGGUGAAAUUCUUGGAUUUAUUGAAGACUAACUACUGCGAAAGCAUUUGCCAAGGAUGUUUUCAUUAAUCAGUGAACGAAAGUUAGGGGAUCGAAGACGAUCAGAUACCGUCGUAGUCUUAACCGUAAACUAUGCCGACUGGGGAUCGGGCGAUGUUUCUAUCUUGACUCGCUCGGCACCCUAAGAGAAAUCAAAGUUUU